UACGUAGGGUCCGAGCGUUGUCCGGAAUUACUGGGCGUAAAGAGCUCGUAGGUGGUUUGUCGCGUUGUUCGUGAAAACUCACAGCUCAACUGUGGGCGUGCGGGCGAUACGGGCAGACUUGAGUACUGCAGGGGAGACUGGAAUUCCUGGUGUAGCGGUGAAAUGCGCAGAUAUCAGGAGGAACACCGGUGGCGAAGGCGGUUCUCUGGGCAGUAACUGACGCUGAGGCGCGAAAGCUAGGGGAGCGAACAGG
rnacentral:rRNA from 1 species